UCAGACGAUGCGUCAUGCAUAUCAAUAAGCGGAGGAAAAGAAACUAACAAGGAUUCCCUUAGUAACGGCGAGUGAAGCGGGAAGAGCUCAAAUUUGAAAUCUUCAAGGUUUUACCUUGACGAAUUGUAGUUUAAAGAAGUGUUUUCUGCUGAAGUUUUGGUAAAAGUUCUUUGGAAUAGGACAUCAUAGAGGGUGAGAAUCCCGUAUUUGACCAUUAUUUUCAGCUGUGUGAUACACUUUCAAAGAGUCGGAUUGUUUGGGAAUGCAGUCCAAAAUGGGUGGUAAAUUUCAUCUAAAGCUAAAUAUUGGCGAGAGACCGAUAGCGAACAAGUACCGUGAGGGAAAGAUGAAAAGAACUUUGAAAAGAGAGUUAAACAGUACGUGAAAUUGUCAAAAGGGAAGCGUUUGACACCAGUGUUGUUUUCUCGAAAAUCAAGUUAAAAAGAGUUAGAUUUUGUUGUGUAUUGACCUUAACAGCUUGCAUUUCAAUCUUCUUGCUUUUUUUAAUGCACUUUUCGUUUAACAAGUCAACAUCAGUUUCUUUUGUUGUAAAAAGGUCAUUGGAAGGUGGCUUUCUUUUCGGAGAAAGUGUUUAUAGCCUUUGACUCCUGCAAUCGGAGAGACUGAGGUCUGCAGCGUAGAUCCUUCGGGGUUAGAUACAUUUGUGCUAAGUUAUAGCUUUUUAUAGACAACUUGUUGACUAUGAUUAGUCUUGUAGCUUACUCGCUUAUGCUAUUUUACCUACGCUUAGGAUGUUGAGUCGUAGAGCACGCAG
rnacentral:rRNA from 1 species